rnacentral:rRNA from 1 species
GAUGAACGCUGGCGGCGUGCCUAAUACAUGCAAGUCGAGCGAACAGACGAGGCGCUUGCUCCUCUGACGUUAGCGGCGGACGGGUGAGUAACACGUGGAUAACCUACCUAUCAGACUGGGAUAACUUCGGGACACCGGAGCUAAUACCGGAUAAUAUAUUGAACCGCAUGGUUCAAUAGUGAAAGACGGUUUUGCUGUCACUUAUAGAUGGAUCCGCGCCGCAUUAGCUGGUUGGUAAGGUAACGGCUUACCAAGGCAACGAUGCGUAGCCGACCGGAGAGGGUGAUCGGCCACACUGGAACUGAGACACGGUCCAGACUCCUACGGGAGGCAGCAGUAGGGAAUCUUCCGCAAAGGGCGAAAGCCUGACGGAGCAACGCCGCGUGAGUGAUGAAGGUCUUCGGAUCGUAAAACUCUGUUAUUAGGGAAGAACAAAUGUGUAAGUAACUAUGCACGUCUUGACGGUACCGAAUCAGAAAGCCACGGCUAACUACGUG